AGCACAAAAAACAAAACAAAAAUUAAUAAAAAAAUAAAGAAUAAAACCCCAAAUUAAGCACACUAUCGCUUUGACACUCCUUUCAGUCAUCAGCUAUCACUCUCUCUUUCUCUCGCAUCAAAAGCCAUGGCCACCGCGAGAGUGCUAACCGUCGCCAAUACGUCCUGCUUGCUCUCCAAGACGACGUCGUUCCUUGCCAAGCAGGGGCCGUACAGCACCAGCCUCUGCUUUACCAGAAGAAGAGCAGCGUCGUCGUUGUCUUCGUCGUGCCGGAGGUCCUUCGCUUGCACAGCUAUCUACAACCCCGAGGUUCAGAUCAAGGAGGAAGGGCAGCCCGAAACCCUAGACUACCGAGUCUUCUUCGUCGACCGUGUUGGUCAAAAGGUUUCACCUUGGCAUGAUAUACCUUUGCAAGUGGGUAAUGGUGUAUUCAACUUUGUGGUUGAAAUACCCAAAGAAUCGAGUGCAAAGAUGGAGGUUGCUACUGAUGAGCCACACACUCCGAUAAAGCAGGAUACAAAGAAAGGAAAACUUCGUUACUAUCCCUACAAUAUUAAUUGGAAUUAUGGAUUGCUUCCACAAACAUGGGAAGACCCAUCCCUUGCUAAUAGUGAAGUUGAAGGAGCAUUUGGGGAUAAUGAUCCAGUUGAUGUUGUUGAGAUAGGCGAAAGUCGGAGAAAGAUUGGCGAGGUUCUCAAAGUAAAGCCCUUGGCUGCAUUAGCUAUGAUUGAUGAAGGGGAACUUGACUGGAAAAUUGUUGCAAUUUCAUUGGAUGAUCCCAAAGCUUCUCUUGUCAAUGACAUUGAUGAUGUUGAGAAGCAUUUUCCGGGGACUCUCACUGCAAUAAGGGACUGGUUUAGAGACUACAAGAUCCCUGAUGGAAAGCCUGCUAACAAGUUUGGUCUUGGCAACAAAGCGGCAAACAAGGGCAUGCUUCAAACAGAAUUCCACAUGAUGUCCCACAACAUGAAGGCAUUCGAAACAUGAUUGUAAAUCCAACAGCCUUUGCUGGACAGUUAUUUCAGGUGUCAACUCAUACAUCAAUGUGGAAUUAGUGUAGUAGUCAUGACAGGUAGGACAAUAUACCUGGCAUUUUAAAUAGGUUGUGAAAGCUGUAGUUCUACACGAUCUGUCUCAGUCCUUUGGGCUUGACCUUCUGAUGCAGGAGAAUCUACAGGGCUUUCCAAGACUAUGUGGCCAACUUGGCUUGGGUUAUACUUAGUUUAGGGUUUUAGUUGUUUCCUUGUCUUUUAUUUGUCUUUUUUGAGUUUUAUGUUUUAUUUAGUUUGACAAAUGAUAGUUAUACUCCUAGUCCUUUCAAGCACUCAUCUGAUCGUCGUGUGAGUGUAAGUAUUUUGGAGGGGCAUGAUUAAGUAGUUAUUAGUAUGCAAGGGGUAGGAUGCUAGGGCUGCUGUAACCCUAGUCUAAAUACUCUUUCAAGAGGAUUUGUAACCUAGGUCUACACUUUGGUUGGACAUGGUGGAGGUUGUUGAUGAGGAAACCAAGCCCAACAACAGAGAUGGCUGAGCUGUGGCAUAUGAUUGAAGAUUUGGGAAGAGUGAUACAAGCUCUUCAAUGACAGGAACCUGUGGAAGCCUGUGCAUAGAUUCCAGAAGGCAAUUGCAACUCCUUGGACAUAUCAGAAGGUGGUUUUAAGGAUGAAGGUUGUGAAGAAUAUGAAGAAAACCCCUUCAUGAUGCUAGAAACCAAGAAUAUCAGGAUCAUAGCAGACAGUUAGUUUUGGUUAUUCAGGUAUGGUUUAUGAUAUCAUUGAAUGAGUUUGGCAACCAGUUAAGUAUAAGUCGAAUGUUUCGUUGAUGAAAUUUUGGAUGACUUGGAAUAUGAUGGGUUUUCUUAUUAUUCUAGAUAUCCUUGCCAGUAUUUAAUUGUUGUUCAUAAGAUGAUUGCAAAGUUUAUUUGGGGUUAGAACUUUUGACAAAAUAUUUUGGUGAGUAAAAAAGAAGUUGGUGUUGAAAAACUUUUGUAGGAAGAUGGUGCAAGAAAUUCUUGAAGACAUCAUUGAAGAUAAGCUCAUAACCCUAAAUUCCCAGGACCGGAUGAAUUUUUUAGAUAAUAAUACUUCUGAAUGUGUUGAUUUUAUCGGGUUGAAUUUUUAGUUUGUGAUUGUCAAGAGUUUGGGUGAUCAUCUAACUCAGGAGAAAAUUGAUGUCAAGAAAUAACGGGUUUCAAGAUUGAUAAUUGAGAAUGAAUGUAAUGGUUUAAAAUGAGCUGAUAUUCCAAGUAUCUCUUUGUUUGGAUGGGAAGUAUUCAGUUUCGAGCCCAAAAGUCCAGAUGAGUUUAGUCAAUGACAUUAGAGAUAAUACCUGGACAACCUUUACCAAAGCAAUUAAAAUUGAAGUUUGCUAUCUUCGAUGGAAAGUUGCAAGCAGGAGAUAAUUUGGAUUGGAAGGCAAGCCAACAUACGUGAUCCUUACUGAAGUUCUGGCAGCUUUCUCAUGGCAGUCAAGUUUUUCCCAACCUGGUGGAUUUGAUGCGGGAGCAUCUACAAGGCUUUCCAAGACUAAGUGGGAUUUUGCGCUUAAGGUCAUAACCGAAACCAAUGAAUCAUGGGCUAAGCUUGUCAAGAGAUCAAUUCCUGCUGGAGAUCUGUCACUUGC